rnacentral:rRNA from 1 species
UGCGGAAUUUUAGAUAAUGGAGGGAACUCUGAUCUAGCGACGCCGCGUGCAGGAAGAAGGUCUUCGGAUUGUAAACUGCUGUGGUAAGGGAAAAAUGCUAUGUAGAGUGGAAAGCUACAUAGAGGGAUGGUACCUAACUAGAAAGCCCCGGCUAACUACGUGCCAGCAGCCGCGGUAAUACGUAGGGGGCGAGCGUUACCCGGAAUCACUGGGCGUAAAGGGAGCGUAGGAGGCCUAACAUGUCAACUGUGAAAACCCGGAGCUCAACUCAGGACUUGCAGUUGAAACUGGUAGGCUUGAGGACGGUAGAGGAAGACGGAACUGCCAGUGUAGGGGUAAAAUCCUUAGAUAUUGGCAGGAACGCCGGUGACGAAGGUGGUUUUCUGGGCCGGUUCUGACACUGAUGCUCGAAAGCCAGGGGAGCGAACGG